GAACGCUAGCUACAGGCUUAACACAUGCAAGUCGAGGGGCAGCAUGGUCUUAGCUUGCUAAGGCCGAUGGCGACCGGCGCACGGGUGAGUAACACGUAUCCAACCUGCCGUCUACUCUUGGACAGCCUUCUGAAAGGAAGAUUAAUACAAGAUGGCAUCAUGAGUCCGCAUGUUCACAUGAUUAAAGGUAUUCCGGUAGACGAUGGGGAUGCGUUCCAUUAGAUAGUAGGCGGGGUAACGGCCCACCUAGUCUUCGAUGGAUAGGGGUUCUGAGAGGAAGGUCCCCCACAUUGGAACUGAGACACGGUCCAAACUCCUACGGGAGGCAGCAGUGAGGAAUAUUGGUCAAUGGGCGAGAGCCUGAACCAGCCAAGUAGCGUGAAGGAUGACUGCCCUAUGGGUUGUAAACUUCUUUUAUAAAGGAAUAAAGUCGGGUAUGGAUACCCGUUUGCAUGUACUUUAUGAAUAAGGAUCGGCUAACUCCGUGCCAGCAGCCGCGGUAAUACGGAGGAUCCGAGCGUUAUCCGGAUUUAUUGGGUUUAAAGGGAGCGUAGAUGGAUGUUUAAGUCAGUUGUGAAAGUUUGCGGCUCAACCGUAAAAUUGCAGUUGAUACUGGAUAUCUUGAGUGCAGUUGAGGCAGGCGGAAUUCGUGGUGUAGCGGUGAAAUGCUUAGAUAUCACGAAGAACUCCGAUUGCGAAGGCAGCCUGCUAAGCUGCAACUGACAUUGAGGCUCGAAAGUGUGGGUAUCAAACAGGAUUAGAUACCCUGGUAGUCCACACGGUAAACGAUGAAUACUCGCUGUUUGCGAUAUACAGCAAGCGGCCAAGCGAAAGCGUUAAGUAUUCCACCUGGGGAGUACGCCGGCAACGGUGAAACUCAAAGGAAUUGACGGGGGCCCGCACAAGCGGAGGAACAUGUGGUUUAAUUCGAUGAUACGCGAGGAACCUUACCCGGGCUUAAAUUGCAGAUGAAUUACGGUGAAAGCCGUAAGCCGCAAGGCAUCUGUGAAGGUGCUGCAUGGUUGUCGUCAGCUCGUGCCGUGAGGUGUCGGCUUAAGUGCCAUAACGAGCGCAACCCUUGUUGUCAGUUACUAACAGGUUCCGCUGAGGACUCUGACAAGACUGCCAUCGUAAGAUGUGAGGAAGGUGGGGAUGACGUCAAAUCAGCACGGCCCUUACGUCCGGGGCUACACACGUGUUACAAUGGGGGGUACAGAGGGCCGCUACCACGCGAGUGGAUGCCAAUCCCCAAAACCUCUCUCAGUUCGGACUGGAGUCUGCAACCCGACUCCACGAAGCUGGAUUCGCUAGUAAUCGCGCAUCAGCCACGGCGCGGUGAAUACGUUCCCGGGCCUUGUACACACCGCCCGUCAAGCCAUGGGAGCCGGGGGUACCUGAAGUGCGUAACCGCGAGGAGCGCCCUAGGGUAAAACUGGUGACUGGGGCU
rnacentral:rRNA from 1 species